AUGUCACUUUAAAAUGAGUUAGAAAUAAAGUGGUUAGCCCAGAAGUAUAAAGGAAAUCUCCAUAAAACCCAGAAAAGAGACUGUAAAACUCCUCUCUGGAUCUUGUCUGGAGUUACAGCU
rnacentral:snoRNA from 1 species